rnacentral:rRNA from 1 species
AAUGGGGGAAACCCUGAUGCAGCGAUGCCGCGUGAGUGAAGAAGGCCCUUGGGUUGUAAAACUCUUUCGUCGGGGAAGAAAAUGACUGUACCCGAAUAAGAAGGUCCGGCUAACUUCGUGCCAGCAGCCGCGGUAAUACGAAGGGACCUAGCGUAGUUCGGAAUUACUGGGCUUAAAGAGCUCGUAGGUGGUUAAAAAAGUUGAUGGUGAAAUCCCAAGGCUUAACCUUGGAACUGCCAUCAAAACUUUUUAGCUAGAGUGUGAUAGAGGUAAGUGGAAUUUCUAGUGUAGAGGUGAAAUUCGUAGAUAUUAGAAAGAACACCAAAUGCGAAGGCAACUUACUGGAUCAUUACUGACACUGAGGAGCGAAAGCAUGGGUAGCGAAGAGGAUU